GUGUUUAUUCAUGUUGAUUGAGAAAGAAGGCCAGACCAUCAAAUACAACAGCCUGUACUGUGACAGCAGGAUGGAAAGUUGCAAAGAAAUGCCCAAGUGCAGGAAGUAAAUGAAAAUUUUCUGCAAUCCACAAGAGCAGUGGUGAGACCCAAUGAACCACCACCAGAAAAAAAGGCUGUUAGCUCUGCCUUCACAUUUAAGGAGGAAGUCACCCAACAUUCAGAGUAUUUUGCUCCCUCUCCACCAGCUCAGAGGCUUUCAACUCAUGGGUUCCCUUUAUAGACUAGACUUGAGCACACAAUCUGGAAAAUGAAAGAAUAAGUUAAAAGUUCAACAGUCUUGAUGAGCCCUCUGCUUAUUUCGCUCUCCAGAAGACCUUGGCUAUCUGUUCUUGAUAUCCCUGCUGCAGAUACUGUCAUUGCAGUCGAAACUGUUACCUUUAUGAUCUCCCCACAUGCCUAAGGAACAUGCCUAGGCAGGAUCCACUCGCACGCCGAACUGAGACACCACCAUGAGUCGCCUAGGGAUCAGCCAAGAAACCAGCUGAGAGCCACCGAGAGACCAGGCUGAGAGCCACCACGAGACCAGGCUGAGAGCUACCGGGAGACCAGGCUGUGAGCCACCGAGAGACCAGAAUGAGAGCCACCGCGAGACCAGACUGAGAGCCACCGCGAGACCAGACUGAGAGCCACCAAGAGACCAGGCUGCGAGCCACUGAGAGACCAGGCUGAGAGCCACAGAGAGACCAGGAUGAGAGCCACCAAGA